rnacentral:rRNA from 1 species
AGUGAACGCUGGCGGUAGGCCUAACACAUGCAAGUCGAACGGCAGCACAGUAAGAGCUUGCUCUUACGGGUGGCGAGUGGCGGACGGGUGAGGAAUACAUCGGAAUCUACUUUUUCGUGGGGGAUAACGUAGGGAAACUUACGCUAAUACCGCAUACGACCUACGGGUGAAAGCAGGGGAUCUUCGGACCUUGCGCGAUUGAAUGAGCCGAUGUCGGAUUAGCUAGUUGGCGGGGUAAAGGCCCACCAAGGCGACGAUCCGUAGCUGGUCUGAGAGGAUGAACAGCCACACUGGAACUGAGACACGGUCCAGACUCCUACGGGAGGCAGCAGUGGGGAAUAUUGGACAAUGGGCGCAAGCCUAAUCCAGCCAUACCGCGUGGGUGAAGAAGGCCUUCGGGUUGUAAAGCCCUUUUGUUGGGAAAGAAAAGCAGCAGGUUAAUACCCCGCUGUUCUGACGGUACCCAAAGAAUAAGCACCGGCUAAGUUCGUG